rnacentral:rRNA from 1 species
AUUUUAGCCUUAAUCUUUCUUACCGAAUUAUUAAAAGUUAUAUCCUCUAAAUUUAAAGGAUUUGGCGGUGAUUUAGUCCAGUCAGAGGAACCUGUGCUUUAAACGAUAAACCACGCAAAAUCUUACCUAUUUUUAGUUUGUAUACCGUCAUUAUUAGAUAACUUUAAAAAAAUAAGUUAUUAAAAUAAGAUUCUCUUAGUAUAUUAGAUCAAGGUGCAGCUUAUAUUUAGGUCCUUCAUGGGUUACAUUAAAAUUUAUUUAUACGCACAUGAGUCUUAAAUAAUUCAUUUAAGGAGGAUUUGAUAGUAAAUUAAGUUUAAUAAGCUAUUUUGAUAAAGGAUCUAAAUUAUGUACAUAUCGCCCGUCACUUUCAUUUUCAAAUGAAAUAAGUC